AUUGAACGCUGGCGGCAGGCCUAACACAUGCAAGUCGAGCGAGCGGCGGACGGGUGUGUAAUGUAUGUGGACCUGCCCGAUAGAGGGGGCUAACUACUGGAAAAGGUGGCUAAUACCGCAUACUAUCGGAUGAACCCAUAUGGGCUUAGCGAGUAGGUGGGGUAAUGGCUCACCUAGGCGACGAUCCCUAGCUGGUCUGAUAGGAUGAUCAGCCACACUGGGACUGAGACACGGCCCAGACUCCUACGGGAGGCAGCAGUGGGGAAUAUUGGACAAUGGGCGCAAGCCUGAUGCAGCCAUGCCGCGUGUAUGAAGAAGGCCUGAGGGUUGUAAAGUACUUUCAGCGGGGAGGCGUUACCCGCAGAAGAAGCACCGGCUAACUCCGUGCCAGCAGCCGCGGUAAUUC
rnacentral:rRNA from 1 species